rnacentral:lncRNA from 1 species
GACUCAUGUAAACUGUGUGUUUGCUUUAGGUAAGUGGGAUCGUGAAAGACGGGGAGUGUUAAUAGGUGAUAGAUUUCAAAAUCCAAAAAACAGAAUCACCGUGUUCCUAGUAUCAAUGAUCUGCUAAAAUAAUCUUACUGUGCACUGGCUGCCCAAGACUUGACUAAACUUCAGUCACCAAAAGGAAGUACAGUAGAAACAGCAGCUUCUUCCUUACAUACAGCUGUAACAUACCCUCCAACAUCCCAUUCCAUAAUGAUAAUUUUACAGUUUAUACCCCACACAUCCUACUGGGUUGCCCCAGCCACUCUGGGCAGCUUCCAACAUAUAUCAAAAUAUAAUAAAACAUUAAACUUCCCCAUACUGGAUUGCCUUCAGAUGGCUCAGGGAUUGGGUAACUCCGUACCCUCCAACAUUUCUCCAAUGAAAAUAGGGACAUCCUAAGGAAAAGGUGGACAUUCCGGGAUCAAAUCAGAAACCAGGACAGCUUCUCUAAAUCAGGGACAUCCCUGGAAAAUAGGGACGCUUGGAGGGUCUGCUGUAAUUUCCAUAAUAAAAGAUUUGUUGGAGAUGGCUGGAUUUUCUUUGCACAUUUCCAAGUGAACACCAUUUCUUUGCUUCAACAGCAUGAAAAUAUGCCAAGGCUGGCACUCAUCUCAUAAUGGUCACUUUGUCAUGAGGGCUGCAUGACUCAUGUGGAAUGUUGUUUUUCAAUGACAGGUAUUAUAAAAAAUUAUCCCAGCCCUUUGAAAGUACAUUCUGAUGUAAGGCUAAUUCAAAAGGUUUUGCAUUAUGCUUUUAAAAAUAAUGAUUUGAACAAUGAUACGCUGGUAUGUUGACACCCUGUAGCACAUCACUGUCUUUGUACAAGUCCCUUAUGAAAUCAUUUGCUUAAAAAGCCCAGUAAAUCAUAGGGGUACCUGAUCUCUCUAGUAUUUAGCUAUGUUAUUCUAUCAGAGGAAAAUAAUUAACAGCUUUUCUGUUGCUGCAGUUCCUCUGCCGUGAAACGUCUCUGUGUUUAAUUUUUUUGUAUUUGUUAUCGCUUUAUGAUUAUUUUUUAAAAAUAAUUAUCCCAGUUUUUAUUUGUUUUUUAUUUAUUAUUUUCUUAUAUUUCUAGUCUGCCUUUCAUCGACAAGGAGCGCAGGAUGUAUUACAAUAUUCAUAUUUAAACAGCAAUAUAAACAGUUGCAAAAUAAUAACCAAGGCUGUAGUCCUAACCGCAUCUAACUAUUCAAUGAAACCUACCCCAGGUAGGUGAGGUUACAAUUGUAGCGAAAACAAAUUAAUACAACCAAACAGUUAAAACAACAGUUGCAACAACUUGCACCUCUGCAGCAAACAAAGGCCUUUAAUUGCAUUAGGUCUCAUCAAAUAUCUCAACUCAACACCUCCCCAAAAGCCCUGGAUGACAAAGUAUAUAAGGUGCCAAGGGGUGGGAGUUGGACUCAGCUACACUAGUAAUGAAAAAGCGUUUUAUAAGUGUUAUAGCACUGUGACCCCAGAUGGCGCUGUGGAGUCCUGUCUUUUGCCAAUGUGAUUUCCCACUAUGAGGUUUACAACACGUUUCCUGAACUGCUUCUUUUGAUGUUUCUAGAUCCAGCCUUAGGCUUGCACACAAGCUACUGACCACUCUGUUCAGUACAAAACAUACUUGGAGCUUUUGAGUUUCUACACAAAUUCCCCAUACUUCAAGAGGACUGUUCCCAUACUUCAAGAGGAGCGCUCAGGAAACUGACGCUAAAAGGACUGUUCCCAUUACCUGUGCUGAUGCUGUUCAGGCACUUUUCUCUGUCUCUCUUAGCUACAGAAAAGGGUAAAGUUUCCCAGGUCAGAAACAACUCAUUGCCUUCUUUCUGGGCCCCUCUUCCUAUGAAGACGAGACUCUCAUUAUCAGCUCUUGACUACGCAACACACCAUGGCUGCAUUAACAUUUGGGGGACAGACGGGUUCAAUUGUUAUUAGAAAUGCUGG